UUAUGAAUACAACAUAACGUUAAUGCACUAGAUCCCAUUAGAACUCUACAUUUAAGUGCACUUAGGCUAGAGUAGUACUGGGAUGAGUGACUGUCUGGGAAGUCCUAGUGUUUUGCAUGCC
rfam:Picea glauca, whole genome shotgun sequence.